rnacentral:lncRNA from 1 species
GGACAGAUUGCUAUUUUUUAGGAAUUUUCAGAUUUCAACUUUUUUUUUUAUUAAAUUUUUGUUUUUUGAUUUUUCAACUAACAACCCCAAGAUUGAUCUUGUGGGAACAAGAUCAAGCCAUGCUCUGAUACCAAAUGAUACGAGAAAGACAACAGAAGGCACAAAAUACACUCCAAAUCAGUCCCCAAUCUUAAGGAUCCGAGGACCAAGAUGGAGACCACUCUCGGAUUCGCUAUCAAAAAGAAGAAUGCAAGAUACAAUGCUAUAUAUAACACCAAAAACAGCUAAAAAAUGUGACGAACAAGAUGAAUAACAAUAAUACAAGUUUUAGAUUCAAUAAAGGACCCAAAACAGUCCACUACAAAAGAUGACAACAACAAAAGUAAAGGAUAGAUAGUGAGACCAAGAUUAUUACAAGAUUAAGAACUAAAGAGUGUAUUAAACUCAAAAACCCCUAAUGAAUGUAAUAAUCGAAACCGCACUCUUACGGCGACCGCCAAGGGAAUCAACUCACCUCAAGAUCCAUCGUUUCCAAGCAAAGAGCAAUACUAGCUUUUCCAAGCCUUAACUAAGACUAAGUGUUCUACUCUCAAGAGAGGAUUUUUAAUGUUUCAAUCUUUCAUCUUUCAUAAACUAAUGAGAUAAAACCUAAGAAAAUCCUACUUAUCGUAUAUUACAAAAGAAGCCAAAAACGACUACACUACCCUUAAUGACCAAGGCUGGCCUUGGUGUGUUGGAAAAUAAUAUGAAUUGUCCAAAAUGCCCCUAAGGCUAAGUGACCAAAAUGCCCUUAAUAAAGGGAACCAAAACCGUGAACCAACAAAGGUGGUCAAAACCAGAGUGUCCUUAAGCCUUCAAAGCUCCAAGCAAUCGUCCACACUCGGGUUUGAUCAAUGGUAGGCUCAAUGCAUCCCCUCCAAGUAUGAUCACAUACCAUCCAUGUGAUCAAAGCUUGAUUCUUCACAUAGUGACUUUGAAUGAUGUCAUCGAAAGCUAAGGCGGCCAUUAUUCUUGUAUCAGUAACUGAGACAUAAAAAAUUUUCAUAAUCAAAAUUAGUACAUCAAGACAUGAAUCCAUAAAAAUCCAUCCUGUUUACGAAGCUUCUACUGAAACACUAGUCUUUCUAAGCCGGUACUAGGCCCUCGGUUGGUUCAUGAAACUAAAAUGAAACCAACAUAUGGAUAAAGUGUCUUCCGAAUUAAGGGAGGCUCACCAACUUUGAAUGUACAAAAGAAAUCUCCUGUUGAGCUAGACUACGGGACUGUGUCCCAAAACAUACAUUAUUGAGACAACGCAACCGCCACGAGGACGGUCAAUGCUUGAAAUGUAUUGGUACAUUGAACGGCCAACAGAAAUAGCUUUCCAAAUAUCAUAAUUGUAAAAACAUCAUAAAAACCAUAACAUGGGGUCAUAUGACAUGAAAAUAGUCUGAAAACAUGUAAUUCAAUCUAAAAUUUCUUUGUAAACAACACAAUGUUAUUCUUUAGUUCUGAUCUAGGGGGCAUACCCGACAUGAUUUGAAAAAUCCUAACCGUUAUGCAAAGUUCAACAUUGACAUGUCUUCCAAGCCCCCAAUCCGAGUUUUCCGCAAGGAUUGGAGUGUCUGGUCUACAACUGCACAUAGCAAGUAUACAAUGAUCAUCCAUAUUUCAGGACAAGAUCAAUCCCGUAUCAUCCAAAAAUGGUUUCGAGCUAUGAGUUAUCUAAACUCGUGCCUUCUUGGUUAGCCACCUAAUUCUCUUUAAGACAAUAUUUUAACCUCUUAAAAUAUGCAUACUUUCUUAAAACAUGAUAUGAAGUCUUAAAAGUCUGUAGUCUAGUCUGGUCUGAGUCUGUCAUGACAUUUGUCUAAUUUGGUAUCGUUAUACCAAGACUUGGAAGCCAUAUAAGCCAUAUCAUAUAAUAGCCUUUUUUAUUCAAAAUCAUGUCAUUUGACCAUCGCAAGGACUAAAAUGUCAUAAGAGAGUUCUCUUUUAAAAUUGUUAUGAAAGCUUAAGUAAAAAUAUCUUUCUUUCAUAGCUCAACUCUUAAGGUGGUCAUCUCUUUCAUAAACGCAUAGUAAAACUCUUCCAAUAAUCAUGGUGUAGUUAAGAAUUCCCAUUCAUGAAAUUUGUUAAAGCUUUUACUAUAAGGAUUACUCUCAAUUAUAUUCAAUCAACCCCCAUUGAAAAACAAGAGCAACAUGAAAACAAAUGAUAAUUAUCAAAACCUUUCCUCAUGCAAAAUCGGGAAAGAAAAUCAGUCCCUUAAAAUAUUAAAAAAACAAACUAAUUUUGACGUACGGAAGGGGGUUCGCGGAGCGAACCCAUCAUACCUCAGGGUUCGUGGGCAAAAUCUAUCAUGAAAAUCAAGGUUGAUGGGGGAACCCUAUCGCGAACCUUAGGGUUUGUUGGGAAAACCUUAUAGAAAACUUUAAGUUGUAUCUCAUUGCGGCGAUAUCCACAAUGUGGGGAUACAACAGAGUCGCCAUUUCGCGAUGCAAAGCCCUUUUCUAAGCCUAAAAACAUCCCAACCCAUUCAAACCCAAUUUUAAGUGGUUUAUCUUAAAUAUUGGGCUCCUAAAGACUCGAUCCAAGAACUUUUUAAGCAUCGGAAAGGUUGGGUUAUUACAUUAUCCACACACACAUACACCAUUGGGAUCAUUCAUCCCCGAAUGAUUACUUGAAACACAUUAAGAAUGAUUUAAAGAGUUAAAUGGAAUAAAUUUAUCAAGAUAACAUUAAUACCAUCCAUUAUAUCAUCUGAUGAUUCGAAAAGUGAUGGGUACGCAUAUCAUCCUCUGGUCCCCAUGUAGCUUCCUCUACCGUUUGCUUACUCCACAAUACUUCAACAAAGCUAUAUCCUUAUUUCUCCACUUCCAAACUUGCCGAUCUAAUAUCGCUAUAGGUUCUUCUCAUAUGACAGGGAAUCCUUCACACCAAUGUUUGCAGCUGGAAACAAAAGUGAGUGAUUCCAAUACACUUCUUAAGCAUUGACAUAUGAAAUACAGGAUGAACUGAAGCUAAACUUGUAAGAAAAUCUAACUCAUAUGAAACUCCACCAAUCCUCCUCGCAAUCUGAUAAAGACCUAUGUAAUGAGGACUAAGUUUUCCGUUCUUCCAAAAUCUCAUGACUCCCUUCAUAGGGAAGACUUUUAUAAAAUGCCCAAUCAUCAAUCUCAAAUUCUAGCUCCCUUUUUUCUUACAUUGGCAUAGGACUUUUGGCGACUUUAGGUGGUCUUAAGUCUCUUUAUAAUGAAUUUCACUUUCUCUAUCUCCUAAUGGACAAGGUCCGAUCCAAAUGAACGAGUUUCACCCACCUAAUAUCAACCAAUUGAUGAUUUAUACCUCCUUUCAUAGAGAGCCUCAAAAGAAGCCAUUUGGAUGCUAGAGUGGAAGUUUUUGUUAUAGGCGAAUUCAAUUAGAGGCAAGUGAUCUAACCAACUACCUUUAAAGUCAAUUAUGCAAGCCCUUAACAUAUCCUCUAAAAUCUGAAUGGCACAUUUUUCUUUCCUAUCCAUUUGAGGGUGGGAAACGGUGUUAAGGUUUAAUUGGGUGCCCAAACCUUUCUAAAAAAACCAUCAAACUGAGAAAAGAAUUUCACACCUUGAUAGGAUAUAAUGGACACUGAAUCCGUAUGCAAAUAAACUGUCUCUUGAAUGUACAACUCUACAUAAUCAUCUCCCAAAUAAUUAGUCCUCACAGGCAAAACGUAAGCUGUCUUGGUCAUCCUAUCCACAAUAACCCAUAUUGAACCAUAUUGGUUUCGGUUUCACGUGAGUCCAGUAAUAAAGUCUAUGUUGAUCAUCUCCCACUUCUAUAAAGUCAAAGCUAUAUCCUGGGAGGUACCAUCUGGACUCAAGUGCUCCACCUUAACUUGUUGGCCAUUCAAACUCUUAUCUAAAAAGUUAGCAACAUUUCAAUUUAUGCUAUUCCCUCGGUAAAUCUCCUUUAGAUCAUGAUACAUCUUAGUAAAUCUAGGAUUAACAACGUACCUAGAAGUAUGAGUUUCAUCAAGAAUCCUUUCUAGUAAACCAUCCAUAUUCGGCAAAAAUGACUUACCUUGGUAUCUCAUAAUACCAUCUCCUCUUAUCUUAUAUGCCAUAACCUUUUGCUGGACAACAUCUUUCUUUAUUUGCUUCUGUUUGGGAUCUUUGGCUUGUUUUUUCUUAACCUCAGUACAUACGGAUGAUUUAGAUACUUCUUGGACAAACAACCCUCCAUCCUCGGAGUCUAGGAGUCGAACACCCAAAUUAGCAUGCCAAUGAAUAUCCUAGACCAAAUUACUCUUUCCUUCCUCAACAUGAGAAAAAUUUCCCUUGGCUAACCUGCUAAGAGCAUCAGCAACCAUAUUAGCUUUACCUAACUGAUAGUGCAGUCUUAUAUCAUAAUCCUUAAACAGCUCUAACCACCACCUCUGCCUAGGAUUCAACUCCUUCGGGGUAAAUAUGUACUGAAAACUCUUAUGAUCAAUAAAUAUGUAAACAUGUACUCCAUAAAGAUAAUGAUUCCUAAUUUUGAGUGCAAAAAGCACAACCUCCAACUCUAAAUCUCGUGUGGGAUAGUUUUUCUCUUGGAAAUUUAUCUGCCUGGAUACACAGGACACCACCUUACUAUGCUUCAUAAGUACACACCCAAGUACCACCCGAGAUGCAUCAUAGUAUACCAUAAAACCCUUUGUACCCUCGGGAAGGGUCAAAAUAAGUGCAGUAGUCAACUUGUCUUUCAAUCUCUCAAAACUAUUCUCACAAGUUUCAGACUACAAAAACUUUACCUUCUUCUAAGUCAACCUAGCAAGUGGAGCAACUAUGGAUGAAAAACUCUCCACAAACCUCCUAUAAUAUCCUACCAAACCCAAGAAGCUUUGAAUGCCUAUUGGAGUUAUGGGUUUGGGCCAUUUCUACACUGCCUUAAUAUUUUAGGGAUCAACCUUAAUUCUGUCACUAGAAAUAAUAUGUCUUAGGAAAGCUAUUGCACUGAACCAUAACUCACACUUAGAGAAUCUGGCAUACAACUCAUGAUACUUAAGGGUCUAAAUCAUGAUAUUGAGGUGAUUAGCAUGAUCUUCCUCACUCUGGGAGUAAACCAAAAUUCUUCGAUGAAAACUAUAACAAAUAGGUCCAAAAACUGAAAGAACACCCUAUUCAUGAGGUCCACAAACGUACUAAGGGACUAGUCAGUCCAAAGGACAUAACUAUUAAUUCAUAGUGACUAUAUCAGGUUUGGAAAGUUGUUUUGGGAAUGUCAGCAUCCCUAACCUUCAACUAAUGAUAACCCAAAUGGAGGUCUAUCAUAGAGAAACAUCUAGCACUCUAAACUUGUUCAAAACGAUCAUCAAUUCUGGGAAGAGGGUACUUAUUCUUGACAUUAACUUUAUUCAACUGACAGUGAUCUAUACACAUACGGAGGGAUCCAUAUUUCUUACGCACGAAGAGAACAUGAGAACCCUAGGAGGAGACACUAGGAUGAAUGAAUCCCUUAUCAAGAAAAUCUUUUAACUGCUCUUUCAAUACUUUUAAAUCCACAGGGGCCAUUCUAUACUGUGGAAUACAAAUAGGCAGAGUGUCUUGCAACAAGUCAAUACCAAAGUCUAUUUCCUUGACUGGGGUAUCCCCGGGAGGUCAUCAAAAAAGACUUCAGAAAAUUCAUUAACUACUGGGACUGAAUGGGAAGAAUGAUUUUCAGUGCAAGAAUCAUUGACCUGAACAAGGUGAUACAAACAACCCUUAGUUAUGACUUAUAGGCUCUAUGAUAAGAUAUGAACUUCUUUCUAGGUGUAAGAGAAUACACUUCCCAUUCUAUAUGGCUCUUUAGGGAUAUAGAAGGUGGCCUUUCUGGUUCUACAAUAUAAUGUAGCACAACAUAAAUAGAGCAAAUCCAUCCUAAAAUAGCAUCAAAAUCCACCAUAUCAAGUUCUACAAGGUUAACUAUAGUAUCCCAGUGAAAAACUGACACUACACAAUUUCCAUACACUCAUCUAGCAACAAUAAAAUCAUCAAUAAGGGUGGAGACAAAGAAGGGUUCAGAAAUAUUCUUGAGCUCAAAACCAAAAAUUACUGCGACAUAAGGGGUUACAUAAGACAAGGUAGACCCAGGAUCAAGUAACACAUAUAUAUCACGAUAGAAGAUUCGUACAUACCCAUUACUAUAUCUGGUGAACCAUUUAAGUCCUGACAUAUGGAUAAGGCAUACAAGUGCUCACAACCCCCGCCUGUACUAUAUAUGAUACCCUUAGCUAGAGGGAUAAAGAAGUAGAUUAGGCCUUAUUAUCCCCAUAAGUUCCUUUGGCAAUGGGAAAAUCUCCCUUAAAGUAAUCAACCUAACCACAACUAUAGCUCACAAGUGUCCCAUACUGACACUUUCCUGGAUGAAAUUUCCCGCAGGUGUUUUCGUGAGGGUGUAACUUAGCUGAUUGAACAACUCUUUCUUGAGACUGAGAGCCUUGCAUCCUUUGUCAACCACAGGCUGGAAACGCUGGUUGCUUGUUGGUUUGGGUGCAGGUGCAUUAGAUGAAGAGUGAGCAUUACCCUAAAACUUCUUCUUGGAACAUUUCUUGUCCCAUUUUCCAUCCUUCUGCUGACUGGUAUAAUGGUCUACAGACUUGGCUCUCUAAAUCUGUCUUUCUUUUUUCUCUACCUCUGUAGGCCUUUUUUCUCCUCUUCAACCUACUGUAUAUAUACACUUAUCUCGAAGAUAUCCAUGUAAAUAUUCAGCAUUACCCAUUUACAUUCUAAUACCAGAUCAUUUGAAAUACCGAAUGCAAACUUCCUCACAUGAGCCCUCAUGUUGCAGACCAACUCUUGAGCAUAAUAGGACAACUGAGUAAAUUUCAGUGCAUAUUCUUUGACGCUCAUCUUUCCUUACAUCAUAUUAACAAAUUCCUUAACCUUGGCUUCCAUCAACGCCUGAGGAAAGAAGUGAUCCAUAAAAGUCCUUACAAACUUAUCCCACAAUGCCGAUUCAACAGCCUCAACCCUCACUCUUCCUACUCUUCAAACAACUGGUGAGACACCUUUUUCAGCUGAUAAUUCAUAGAUUCUACCCCCUUAGUAUCGUCGGCAUACAUGACUCUAAAAAUUUUCUCCAUUUUAUCUACAAACCCUAGAGGAUCCUUCUCAAACUUGGUACCCAUAAAGGCGGGUAGGUUCAGCCUCAUGAAUUGGCCAACCCGAGUGAUCUCAGAAGAACCAAUAACUGAACUCAUAUUGCAAUACUAACAAGACUGUAAAGCCACAAGUUGAAAAAACAUGUGGAUAGACUAUCAAAACUUAGUAUUUGAGAUCUCUCUAUGGGAUCUAGGUGCGGUUCACACCAGUCUAGAGAGCUCGAGAAGGGCUAUUAGGGACUGGUGGAACCCAUGAAGGAGCAGCAAAAUUAGGAGUACAUGCUCUAUAACGGGUCCAUAUCCCAUGAGUUGGGAGGACAUCUUCAGCAUUUGUCCUAACAAGAAUGAAGUUUUCGGCUGAGGGGUUCUGUCCAUUGGAUCUUCGAGGAGGCAUAGUUUGAAAUGCAAAAAGUCAUGUGUUAGGAAAUAUUCAGACCCUAUAGCACAAACCACAACACAAAUAAAAAAGGAGACAUUCCUAAUUGUCUCAUAGCUUCCUCCUUAUAAGUGUGGUGUGCUACAUACCCAUAAAAGGGACUCUACUCAACACAGCUUCGUAGACACCUUGGGACCCUGAAUUAAGCUCUGAUGCCAAGCUUUUCAUGACCCAAGCCAAGGCCUUGGCCACGACGGGCAUCCUAAACCAUGAAGGAUGAAGAGCUCCUUAGCAUAUUAUCAUAAGCAUUAAUCAUACCAAAUGAAAAGUGGAAGGUAAACUCAAAUAUGAAAAUGGUUCAUAAUAAAAUUUGGUACAUCAAGACAUGAUUCCAUGAAAACUCAAAUACAGUCUAACCAGUCUAUGAAGCUUCUACUGAAACACUAGUUUGUUUACGUCAUGACAAGGCCCCUGGUAAGACCAUGAAAUUAAAAAGAAGCCAAAAUAUAGAUAAAGCGCAUUCUGAAGUAAGGGAGGUUCACUAACUAUAAAUGUCUAAAAGCAAUCUAAUGUUGAGAUACACCAUGGAACUGUGCCUCAGAACCUACAUUAUGAGAAAAUGCAACAGCCACAAGGACGAUCAAUACUUGGAAUGUAUUGGAACAUAGAACGGCCAAAAGAAAUAACUUUCAAAAUACCAUAAUAGUCUAGGCAUCAUAAAAAUCAUAACAUGGGGUCAUAUGACAUCAAAACAGUUUGAAAAUAUGUAAUUCAUUCCAAAACUACUUGGUAAAUAAUAUCAUGGUAUUCUUUAGUUCUGAGCUAGGCGACAUUCCCGAUAUGGUCUGAAUAAUCCCAUGGGCUAUGCGGGGUCCACCAUUUACUCGUUGAUCAAGCCCCCUAUUCGAGUUUCUCACAAGGAUUGAAGUGUCUAGUCUGAUGUACAACUGCAUAUAGCAACUAUACAAUGAUCAUCCAUAUUUCAGGACAAGAUCAAUCCCAUAUCAUAAAAAUACGAUUUUGGGCUAUGAGUUAUCUAAACUCUUGCCAUCUCGGUUAGCCACCUAACUCUCUUUAUGUUCAUAUUAUAACCUCUUAAAACAUGCAUAAUUUCUUAAAACAUGGUCUGAAGUUUGAAAAGUCAGUAGUCUAGUCUAAUCUGAGUCUGUCAUGGCGUUUGUCUGAUUUGGUAUCGUCAUAUCAAGAUCUGCAAGUAGUAUAAGUCACAUCAUAUCACAACCCUUUUUAUUCAAAAUCAUGUCAUUUGAACACCACAAAGACUCAAAUGUCAUAAGAGAGUACUCUUUUAAAAUUGUUAUGCAAUCUUAAGUAAAAAUGUUUUUCUUUUAAAGCUAAACUCUUAAGGUGGUCGUCUCUUUCAUAAACACAUAGUAAAACUCUUUCAGUAAUCAUGGUGGUUUAGUUAAGAUUCUCAUUCAUGAAAUCUGUUAAAGCUUUUAAGAGAAGGAUUAUUCUUUUCAAUCAUAUUCAAUUAACCACCAUUGAAAAACAAGAGCCACAUCAAACAAAUGAUAAUUAUCAAAACCUUCUUCAUGCGAAAUUAGGCAAGGAAAUCAUUCACAACCUCAUCAUUUUCGCAAAUCACAAUUCAAUAUGCAAACAUACAUAUGUAUAAACCCAUAAGAAGCACAAUUGAGGUUGGAUGCAAAUAUUGAAAUUCAUGCUCUUGUUGUGAAUGAAAAUCUCAAAGCUUGAACACUUAAAAGCGAUACAAACAUUUAUAAAUUCAAACCCCAUAAGAUAUAGGUCGCUCUACGUACCACUAAUGGAGAGAAUUUAAAUCAAAGUUUACCGUUGAGCUUUGAAUACUCAAACCGAAGGUAGUUUUCUUCUCUCUUUCUUUUAGAAUGAUGAUUUUGGAUUUACGGAGGUGUAAAAGCAUUUUUAAGGAUCUACACUCAUACACAAGGGAUUGAGAAUGACUUGGUGGGGUGAAAUGGCCUUCAAGCUCUUAAAAUAUUACAAAAAUCGAACUAUUUCGACGUACGGAAGGGGAUUCACAGAGCGAACCCAAUCAAACCUCAGGGUUCGUGGAGUGAACCCCAUAGCAAACCUCGGGGUUCGUGGGGAAAACCCCAUAGCGAACCCAAGGCAAUAGCCCAUCGUAGGGCUUCCGACGGAUUCCCUAUUUUGCGAUGCAAAUCCUUUUUGAAAGCCUAUAAACACCCCCAACCCAUACAAACCCAAUCUUAGGUGGUUUAUCUUUGAUAUUGGGGUCCUAAAGACUCGUUCCAAGCACUUUUU